GUCUCUGAUGGAUUUCCCCACGCUGUUGCUAGGAGAUGAAGAUACUGCCUAACAAAGGAUAUAUUGACAACAAAAAAAUUUUCCAGAGCAAAUCUAUCUCGUUAUGGAGAAAGAAAAAGGAGCCAAGGAGAACGUCGUCCCCUUCAUUUCCCUACAUGCAUGGUUGGGACCGACAACUUGAACUUGUGCCAGCACUACUGCAUCCCUUCCUCCAAAGCCACACGUUGGGCUGGUGGCAUCUCCUGCCUGCAUCAGCUGGCCCAGGUGGCCACCAAGAUGCUUACAGUUUAGCCAAGCGUUAA
rnacentral:lncRNA from 1 species